rnacentral:rRNA from 1 species
AGAGUUUGAUCAUGGCUCAGGACGAACGCUGGCGGCGUGCCUAAUACAUGCAAGUCGAGCGAAUGACGAGAAGCUUGCUUCUCUGAUUUAGCGGCGGACGGGUGAGUAACACGUGGGCAACCUGCCCUGUAGACUGGGAUAACUUCGGGAAACCGGAGCUAAUACCGGAUAAUCCAUUUUGCCUCAUGGUGAAAUGUUGAAAGGCGCUUCGGCGUCACUACAGGAUGGUCCCGCGGUGCAUUAGCUAGUUGGUGGGGUAACGGCCUACCAAGGCAACGAUGCAUAGCCGACCUGAGAGGGUGAUCGGCCACAGUGGGACUGAGACACGGCCCAAACUCCUACGGGAGGCAGCAGUAGGGAAUCUUCCACAAUGGACGAAAGUCUGAUGGAGCAACGCCGCGUGAGUGAUGAAGGUUUUCGGAUCGUAAAACUCUGUUGUAAGGGAAGAACAAGUACGUUAGGAAAUGAACGUACCUUGACGGUACCUUAUUAGAAAGCCACGGCUAACUACGUGCCAGCAGCCGCGGUAAUACGUAGGUGGCAAGCGUUGUCCGGAUUUAUUGGGCGUAAAGCGCGCGCAGGCAGUUUCUUAAGUCUGAUGUGAAAGCCCACGGCUUAACCGUGGAGGGUCAUUGGAAACUGGGAGACUUGAGUGCAGAAGAGGAAAGUGGAAUUCCAAGUGUAGCGGUGAAAUGCGUAGAGAUUUGGAGGAACACCAGUGGCGAAGGCGACUUUCUGGUCUGCAACUGACGCUGAGGCGCGAAAGCAUGGGGAGCAAACAGGAUUAGAUACCCUGGUAGUCCAUGCCGUAAACGAUGAGUGCUAAGUGUUAGGGGGUUUCCGCCCCUUAGUGCUGCAGCUAACGCAUUAAGCACUCCGCCUGGGGAGUACGACCGCAAGGUUGAAACUUAAAGGAAUUGACGG